GGGACAGCUAGAGAAACAAGAGGACCAGUCCCCAACCCAGCAUCUUGGGUGUGUGUGGGGGGGCUGCACUAGGAAGAGGUGUUCUAACAUUGGGCUUUGCAGACCCAUGGGGCUUAACUUCAGAGUUUCUACAAGCAGCAGGGCAUAAUUUCAGGUACUUAAAAAAUCUGCAGGCUUAAAACUGGGUGGUGUAAGCCCCCACAACCUCCCACGUUUCAGACCUAUGGUUCUUAGCUCCCCCUUACCAGAGUCACAUAGCCCUUAGCUACUGUUAAAACUGGAAAAUUGCCUCAGGAAAUAAAGUUGCCUUCGGAAGAGUCUGUGGGAUGCCAUUCUACCGGAGAUCCACAUAAUGUGCCAUGUCUGUGAGGGGGGAAAAACAAUUUGCAGCUUAGCAGUAGUCACAGAACUAGAACUUCCAUCUGUGCUCUAGAGAUGACAUCACUAAUGUAACCUGCUGAGAACGUUUUGCAGUGCCAGGGCCCUGAGACCAAACAAUCACCUCUCUACAGUCACACCAAAGCCCAGAUGUUACCAGAAGGGACAAGAUGAUCAAGAAAAGAAGUAUUACAGGAGGAAUAGACAGGAGACAGAGAUGGAGGAAUGUUAGUCCAAACUCUGAAUUUGCCCCUGGCUCUCCUGGACUUAAACUGCCCACUUCAGGUUUCCCCCACAGAUUGACCCGCGGGGAAUAAACUGCCUUUUCAUGAACACAGGUGCAACAUAUUCCAUAUGAAAGCUAAU
rnacentral:lncRNA from 1 species